AAGACUAUACUUUCAGGGAUCAUUUCUAUAGUUUGUGACUAGAGAAGUUUCUCUGAACGUGUAGAGCACCCGAAACCACGAGGAGGAGGCGCAGUGUUCUCUCCUGAGCGUGAAGCCGGUUGUUGGUGUUGCUUCGUGCAGCUGCCAUCAGCCGUUGAUGAUCGUUCUUCUCUUCCUUUAGGAAGAGUGAGAGGGGGAGGACGCCGUCUGAGUGGU